GAGCCCGUUAAUGGGUGAUGGCGUGCCUUUUGUAGAAUGAACCGGCGAGUUACGAUUUGAUGCAAGGUUAAGCAGUAAAUGUGGAGCCGUAGCGAAAGCGAGUCUGAAUAGGGCGUUUAGUAUUUGGUCGUAGACCCGAAACCAGGUGAUCUACCCUUGGUCAGGUUGAAGUUCAGGUAACACUGAAUGGAGGACCGAACCGACUUACGUUGAAAAGUGAGCGGAUGAACUGAGGGUAGCGGAGAAAUUCCAAUCGAACCUGGAGAUAGCUGGUUCUCUCCGAAAUAGCUUUAGGGCUAGCCUCAAGUGAUGAUUAUUGGAGGUAGAGCACUGUUUGGACGAGGGGCCCCUCUCGGGUUACCGAAUUCAGACAAACUCCGAAUGCCAAUUAAUUUAACUUGGGAGUCAGAACAUGGGUGAUAAGGUCCGUGUUCGAAAGGGAAACAGCCCAGACCACCAGCUAAGGUCCCAAAAUAUAUGUUAAGUGGAAAAGGAUGUGGCGUUGCCCAGACAACUAGGAUGUUGGCUUAGAAGCAGCCAUCAUUUAAAGAGUGCGUAAUAGCUCACUAGUCGAGUGACACUGCGCCGAAAAUGUACCGGGGCUAAACAUAUUACCGAAGCUGUGGAUUGUCCUUUGGACAAUGGUAGGAGAGCGUUCUAAGGGCGUUGAAGCAUGAUCGUAAGGACAUGUGGAGCGCUUAGAAGUGAGAAUGCCGGUGUGAGUAGCGAAAGACGGGUGAGAAUCCCGUCCACCGAUUGACUAAGGUUUCCAGAGGAAGGCUCGUCCGCUCUGGGUUAGUCGGGUCCUAAGCUGAGGCCGACAGGCGUAGGCGAUGGAUAACAGGUUGAUAUUCCUGUACCACCUAUAAUCGUUUUAAUCGAUGGGGGGACGCAGUAGGAUAGGCGAAGCGUGCGAUUGGAUUGCACGUCUAAGCAGUAAGGCUGAGUAUUAGGCAAAUCCGGUACUCGUUAAGGCUGAGCUGUGAUGGGGAGAAGACAUUGUGUCUUCGAGUCGUUGAUUUCACACUGCCGAGAAAAGCCUCUAGAUAGAAAAUAGGUGCCCGUACCGCAAACCGACACAGGUAGUCAAGAUGAGAAUUCUAAGGUGAGCGAGCGAACUCUCGUUAAGGAACUCGGCAAAAUGACCCCGUAACUUCGGGAGAAGGGGUGCUCUUUAGGGUUAACGCCCAGAAGAGCCGCAGUGAAUAGGCCCAAGCGACUGUUUAUCAAAAACACAGGUCUCUGCUAAACCGUAAGGUGAUGUAUAGGGGCUGACGCCUGCCCGGUGCUGGAAGGUUAAGAGGAGUGGUUAGCUUCUGCGAAGCUACGAAUCGAAGCCCCAGUAAACGGCGGCCGUAACUAUAACGGUCCUAAGGUAGCGAAAUUCCUUGUCGGGUAAGUUCCGACCCGCACGAAAGGCGUAACGAUUUGGGCACUGUCUCAACGAGAGACUCGGUGAAAUCAUAGUACCUGUGAAGAUGCAGGUUACCCGCGACAGGACGGAAAGACCCCGUGGAGCUUUACUGUAGCCUGAUAUUGAAAUUCGGCACAGCUUGUACAGGAUAGGUAGGAGCCUUUGAAACGUGAGCGCUAGCUUACGUGGAGGCGCUGGUGGGAUACUACCCUAGCUGUGUUGGCUUUCUAACCCGCACCACUUAUCGUGGUGGGAGACAGUGUCAGGCGGGCAGUUUGACUGGGGCGGUCGCCUCCUAAAAGGUAACGGAGGCGCUCAAAGGUUCCCUCAGAAUGGUUGGAAAUCAUUCAUAGAGUGUAAAGGCAUAAGGGAGCUUGACUGCGAGACCUACAAGUCGAGCAGGGUCGAAAGACGGACUUAGUGAUCCGGUGGUUCCGCAUGGAAGGGCCAUCGCUCAACGGAUAAAAGCUACCCCGGGGAUAACAGGCUUAUCUCCCCCAAGAGUUCACAUCGACGGGGAGGUUUGGCACCUCGAUGUCGGCUCAUCGCAUCCUGGGGCUGUAGUCGGUCCCAAGGGUUGGGCUGUUCGCCCAUUAAAGCGGUACGCGAGCUGGGUUCAGAACGUCGUGAGACAGUUCGGUCCCUAUCCGUCGUGGGCGUAGGAAAUUUGAGAGGAGCUGUCCUUAGUACGAGAGGACCGGGAUGGACAUACCUCUGGUGUACCAGUUGUCGUGCCAACGGCAUAGCUGGGUAGCUAUGUGUGGACGGGAUAAGUGCUGAAAGCAUCUAAGCAUGAAGCCCCCCUCAAGAUGAGAUUUCCCAACUUCGGUUAUAAGAUCCCUCAAAGAUGAUGAGGUUAAUAGGUUCGAGGUGGAAGCAUGGUGACAUGUGGAGCUGACGAAUACUAAUCGAUCGAAGACUUAAUCAAAA
rnacentral:rRNA from 1 species